rnacentral:rRNA from 2 species
CCGCAUGGAGGCAGCAGUAGGGAAUCUUCCGCAAUGGACGAAAGUCUGACGGAGCAACGCCGCGUGAGUGAUGAAGGUUUUCGCUAGGUAAAACUCUGUUGUUAGGGAAGAACAAGUACCGGAGUAACUGCCGGUACCUUGACGGUACCUAACCAGAAAGCCACGGCUAACUACGUGCCAGCAGCCGCGGUAAUACGUAGGUGGCAAGCGUUGUCCGGAAUUAUUGGGCGUAAAGCGCGCGCAAGCGGUUCCUUAAGUCUGAUGUGAAAGCCCCGGUUUCAACCCGGAAGGGUCAUUGGAAACUGGGGAACUUGAGUGCAGAAGAGAAGAGUGGAAUUCCACGUGUAGCGGUGAAAUGCGUAGAGAUGUGGAGGAACACCAGUGGCGAAAGCGACUCUUUGGUCUGUAACUGACGCUGAGGCGCGAAAGCGUGGGGAGCAAACAGGAUUAGAUACCCUGGUAGUCCACGCCGUAACGAUGAGUGCUAAGUGUUAGAGGAAUUCCGCCCUUUAGUGCUGCAGCAAACGGAUUAACCACUCCGCCUGGGGAGUACGGCCGCAAGGCUGAAACUCAAAGGAAUUGACGGGGGCCCGCACAAGCGGUGGAGCAUGUGGUUUGAUUCGAAGCAACGCGAAGAACCUUACCAGGUCUUGACAUCUCCUGACAACCCUAGAGAUAGGGCGUUCCCCUUCGGUUGACAGGAUGACAGGUGGUGCAUGGUUGUCGUCAGCUCGUGUCGUGAGAUGUUGGGUUAAGUCCCGCAACGAGCGCAACCCUUGAUCUUAGUUGCCAGCAUUCAGUUGGGCACUCUAAGGCAGUUGCCGGUGACAAACCGGAGGA